rnacentral:rRNA from 1 species
CACGCCCUAAACGAUGCGAACUGGACGUUGGUCUCAACUUGGAGAUCAGUGUCGAAGCUAACGCGUUAAGUUCGCCGCCUGGGGAGUACGGUCGCAAGACUGAAACUCAAAGGAAUUGACGGGGGCCCGCACAAGCGGUGGAGUAUGUGGUUUAAUUCGAUGCAACGCGAAGAACCUUACCUGGCCUUGACAUGUCCGGAAUCCUGCAGAGAUGCGGGAGUGCCUUCGGGAAUCGGAACACAGGUGC